UCUCUCUACCGACCCCCGAUCACUUUUCAUGCUCAGGCCAGCCUUGCACAAUCAGGUUCCGUUCAUUCUGCACCCCCAUUUCUUAGGUGGGGUACUGAGCACUGCUUUUCCUUUAGCUCAAUCAAUAUGGCAGCUUCUCAGGGAUGGAACCUACCAUGGCUGUAGGAGAUGCUUCGCUACUUCUUACUACCUUUCCUAGGGAGGGCAGCUCAUUUUUAGAAAUGCUGCUGGGGAGCCAAAUUGUAGGCAUCCAACCAGAGGGCCUCGCUCUCUGUCUCCCAGGAAUCAAGGGUAGCUCUGGCUCUCUGAGGAGCUGUCUCCAGCCUCCAGGUGGACGUCCUUUCCAGCAUACCAGGGCUUAUGGAGGCAAAAUGAAAGCUGGUCCACGUGGGAACUCCCUGCUGUUGUCCUUUCCUUGGGCAGACAUCAUCUACUUUUGAGCCCCUAGCAGUUUCAUCCUGUUUUCCCCAAAGCAUCCUUGGACUCGGGCCUUUCAUCCUGGACCCAUCUGUCUGGCCUGUUGUGCUGAACCUUUGGUUUAAGUGGUUGGUUGGUCCCAGCCACUUCUUCAAAAGAAGGUUUCCUAAGGUAAUCAUCAGGGCAAUUGUACUUCCAGGAACAGUGAGGCUGAUGGGCCUGUUCCCAAGGGUGCUUUGGCAGGGGGUGCCAGGGAAGGGGCUGGCCUAGGGCCAGGUUCAUUAUACCGUUAGCCCUACAGCCCCAUGCCUUUGUGUCCUGGUUUACCCGCCGUGUAGUGGUCCUGCAGGAGUGGAGCCUGUAGGACUUGCUUCUCACCCACUCCAAGCAGAACUGUCGGGGAAGGAGGUGGGAGGUGCAGCCAGUCUAGACCUGAAGCUCUCACACUAAGGAGUAAGGUAGGCCUGCUCAGCCUUAGCCCUCGUCACCUCCAAGGGUGGGGUACGCAGGAGGAGGCUGAGCGUAGUCGUGGAUAGAAACCUUUCCCUACUGCACGGUCACACACAUGGCAUUGGACUCCUGGCUGUGUAGCUCACUCGGGUCUACUGAAGACCAAGUUAGUUUUUAGAAAUCUAUUUAAAGUAUCUAUCAUGUAUCUAUUGACUGUGUUUUUCUGAAUACGCAAGUGUAAAUAGUAUAAUUUGCAGUGCAAAGUCCUUGGCAAUAAAUUUGUGUAUUAUGUUUAAAAACACUGGAAACCACGACCACCAUGGACUGCCCUUCCCCUCUGAGGCAAUUAUUACAUGUAGGACUCUGAACUUUAAACCUUCAGCGUGACUGAAGCAGCAGCCUGCACAUGUGGACGGUCAUCAGUGCCUCGCCCAGAGAUGCCUGGCCUUCAUUCAGAGGGACCCUGCUGCCACAAGUCCUCCAGGCAGCACCCACACUGUGGCUCCUUCGCGCUGAAUAUGUUGGACUCUGCCAUCAGACUGACCCUCUGUCUGGCUGCUGCAGUUUGUCUGUAAUGCCCUGCCAUGUUGCAUUUUCCCCAUUUGGAUAAAUAAAAACAAAUGCUUCUGUCACACACA